AAACUUCUAUUAUAAGAUGGUCUAUUAUUCUUCCGCUGUGUUGGAUUAAGGUCUUCUGGAUCUCUCUGGUGACCAAUGGUGCUCAAGCAAUUGGUUUGAGAGAGAAGAACUGGAUUGCUUGUGAUCUUGGGUUGCCAUGCUUUCCAAGGGAAUUCCCUGAUUGCAAUGCACACUCUUGUUUUAUGGUCUUGGAGGAAGCUGCUUAUGAUAAAAAAUCUGAGCUCCGUUCUCCUCACACAAAGACUUGGAAAGUUCCUGUUUCAUCUCCAUGGGAUAGUGUCCGCCUUGCUCUAGAAGGACUCAGUGGGGCAGGUCAUGAUCGGAUGCAACAUGAACAGCUUUCUCCAAACGAUAUGAUAAAGAACUUAGAAAUGAGUACUCCAUACUCGAGAAGAUGCAUAACUGACUCAGAGGGUAGUCACAGUGCUCCAUUCGAGGGAUUCGUGGCAAGGACGUCUUAUGUUCUGAUUCAGUUUUUGGAUGAGAU
rnacentral:misc_RNA from 1 species